UAUGGAUGAGCCCAUCAACUUUUGUGCUAUUCUUAAAAAAUAAAUCAAAAUGACAUUUAUCUUACAUUCAUUAGAAAGAAAAAAAAUGCUUGGUUAAUUAGAAAAAAGGUGAGCAAAACUAAAUCGCACAGUUAAUUAUGAAGAACAACUUCAAAACCAUCACAACUGUUAAUUGACACAAACGGUACCCACAUAUACCAUCCUAAAAAAGGUCUCAUCGAGAGUGCACGCAGACGACAUCAUCAUCAUUUCUCUUCUAGGGGUGUCAUCGUCAUAUCUAAACCCUCAGCAAACUAGUAGAAGUUCGUUGUAUGCGAUCAUCGCCACAACCUACACCGCCGUGUGAAGAUGUAUGAAGAUGAAGAUCCGCGCUAGGCCCAGUCAUAUGCGACCAUACAUCACAACUUUGAUUCUGAUGGAGAACCAUGAAGGAAAGCUAGGUACGGAUGAUGUCGUAGAAGAUCAUCGAACGAACCACAUGUUUCCUGACACCGUAUACCAUCGGGGAUCCGCCACCGUAGCUUUGAUUUCACAACAACAAACUAGCCGAGGAAAUCCCGCAAACAUGUCGGAGAACAGCCGACUACAUGAACCAUAACCACGUCCCCAAGAUUGCUCGUCCCGUCAUCAUUGUCAUCGAAGUCUCGUCGCCAACAUCUCAGUCAUGUCUUCCACUGGUCUCACUCGCCAACAUCUAGUUCCAAAAACGAAGUCUCGAGAAGGUGAACGACACCAAGACGCCACCAACGUUCGAUCAAACAUGAUCUAGGAUUUUUCGUGAAGCUGCAACAAUCAGGGUCGGACGGUCAUCGAAGGUGUGCGACAGCAGCACAACGAUGCCUUCAAAAAGAUAAGCGACGGCCACGGCCACGGCCAUCGCUGGUCAGGGCCACAACCCAGACAGGGUUUUCACCCAAGCCCCCGACACCACCUCAUCCGCACAUCAUUUCACAACAGCGCCCACCUUGCACUACCACCGAGC
rnacentral:lncRNA from 1 species